GGUGGGAUGGCAGAGCGGUUGAAUGCACCAGUCUUGAAAACUGGCAUACGUUAAUAGCGUAUCUAGGGUUCGAAUCCCUAUCCCACCGCCA
rnacentral:tRNA from 3 species